ACCCCCACGGUUACGGAGUAGGGUUUAAUACUCCUACUUCCACAUAAACUCUUCCCUUUCGCAGGAGCCAAAACAGCUCUGCUUUACUUUUUUCAACACCCAUUUCAAUAAAAUCCCGAAUUUCCCAUUACUUUAUACCCUUUUUUUUCUGGGUUUCAAAGAAGGAUCGAGUUUCACCCGGCCAGAAAAGUCUUUAAUGGGCUUAGUAAUAGUGGCGAAAAUGGGGAUUUUAACUUGGAGACGCUGAAUCCAAGUGGGUCGGAGCAAAAGAUGAGUUUUAGGAUGACUUUUCGGAAAAUUGGUGCUGGUCUUGAAAAUCUUGGUAAUACUUGUUUUCUCAAUUCAAUGUUGCAGUAUCUGACAUAGACGGUGCGUUUUUGCGGCAUACUUGCAGAGUGGCAAGCAUCAAAAUUCUUGGGAGUGGCUUUCUCUUCUGCUCAGUUCUUUCCUGCUUUUUACUUCCAUGAACACAGUAAAAACUAUAUAGGCAUGCAUAUUUCUACAUCAAUUCUGUUUCUAGGCCCAAAAAGAAGAUAACGGAAGACAGCCUGAGGGAGAUUGCAGCUGAAGAAAAUAAGGGCAGAGAGCUUGAGGGCAGUUUGGGAAACUCAUGCUAGUCAUUCAGAGUUGUAUGAGGCAGUAAAAUAAUGCUACAAGGGAAUCAUUCAGGUUCCUAUGAAGGAGAUUUUGGUACACUCUUUAUGGUGUUCUGGUUCAUCAUGGUUGGAGAACACAUUCUGGACACCAUUACUGCUUUGUUCGAACAUCAAGUGCCUUGUGGCACUCCCUUGAUGAUAAUCAAGUAUGGAAAUUUCCUUAUUCCAUUUCUCUUCUAGGAAUGCUUGUGGGGUUGGUUGGAUAUAUUUUUAUAUCUUGAAUAAUAAUGCCAUAAGAACUUGAAAUCUAAAAUUUGCUAUUCUUGAA